CCAGACUCCUACGGGAGGCAGCAGUGGGGAAUAUUGCACAAUGGGGGGAACCCUGAUGCAGCGACGCCGCGUGGGUGAAGGAGCACCUCGGUGCGUAAAGCCCUAUCGGCAGGGAAGAAACAGACGGUACCUGACUAAGAAGCCCCGGCUAACUACGUGCCAGCAGCCGCGGUAAUACGUAGGGGGCAAGCGUUAUCCGGAUUCACUGGGUGUAAAGGGAGCGUAGACGGCGACGCAAGUCUGGAGUGAAAGCCCGGGGCCCAACCCCGGGACUGCUCUGGAAACUGUGCAGCUAGAGUGCGGGAGAGGUAAGCGGAAUUCCUAGUGUAGCGGUGAAAUGCGUAGAUAUUAGGAGGAACACCAGUGGCGAAGGCGGCUUGCUGGACCGUAACUGACGUUGAGGCUCGAAAGCGUGGGGAGCAAACAGGAUUAGAUACCCCAGUA
rnacentral:rRNA from 1 species